rnacentral:tRNA from 1 species
GGAAGGAUGGCCGAGUGGUUUAAGGCAACGGUCUUGAAAACCGUCGAGUGUAACAGCUCCCAGAGUUCGAAUCUCCGUCCUUCCG